ensembl:Mt_tRNA
AUCUUUCUAGUAUUAACACGUAUAAGUGACUUCCAAUCACCCGGUCUUGGUUAAAAUCCAAGGAAAGAUA